UGGGGAAUAUUGCACAAUGGAGGGAACUCUGAUGCAGCGACGCCGCGUGUGUGAUGAAGGAAUUCGUUUCGUAAAACUCUGUUCUAUGGGAAGAAAAGGACUGUACCAUAGGAGAAAGCUCCGGCUAAUUACGUGCCAGCAGCCGCGGUAAUACGUAUGUAGCGAGCGUUUUCCGGAAUUAUUGGGGGUAAAGGGUGCGCAGGCGGCUUUACAAGUUGGAUGUGAAAUAUUGUGGCUCAACCACAAACGUGCAUCCAAAACUGCAAAGCUUGAGUUAAGGAGAGGUAAGUGGAAUUCCUGGUGUAGCGGUGGAAUGCGUAGAUAUCAGGAGGAAUACCGGUGGCAAAGGCGACUUACUGGACUUAAACUGACGCUAAGGCACGAAAGCGUGGGGAGCAAACAGG
rnacentral:rRNA from 1 species